GCCAGGUGUGGUGGCGCACACCUGUAAUCCCAGCUACUCAGGAGGCUGAGGCGUGAGAAUUGCUUGAACCUGGGAGGCAGAGGCUGCAGUUAGCUGAGAUUGUGCCACUGUACUCCAGCCCAAGUGACAGAGCAAGACUUCGUCUCAA
rnacentral:sRNA from 1 species